rnacentral:rRNA from 1 species
UACAGAGGUCUCAAGCGUUGUUCGGAUUCAUUGGGCGUAAAGGGUGCGUAGGCGGGUCUUUAAGUCAGGGGUGAAAUCCUGGAGCUCAACUCCAGAACUGCCUUUGAUACUGAGGAUCUUGAGUUCGGGAGAGGUGAGUGGAACUGCGAGUGUAGAGGUGAAAUUCGUAGAUAUUCGCAAGAACACCAGUGGCGAAGGCGGCUCACUGGCCCGAUACUGACGCUGAAGCGCGAAAGCUAGGGGAGCGAACGGG